rnacentral:rRNA from 1 species
UACGUAGGGUGCGAGCGUUGUCCGGAAUUACUGGGCGUAAAGAGCUCGUAGGUGGUUUGUCGCGUUGUCCGUGAAAACUCACAACUCAAUUUGUGGGCGUGCGGGCGAUACGGGCAGAACUGGAGUACUGCAGGGGAGACUGGAAUUCCUGGUGUAGCGGUGGAAUGCGCAGAUAUCAGGAGGAACACCGGUGGCGAAGGCGGGUCUCUGGGCAGUAACUGACGCUGAGGAGCGAAAGCGUGGGGAGCGAACAGG